rnacentral:rRNA from 1 species
CGUCUGGGGGGGAGAGUGGCGAACUGGUGAGUAACACGUGGGUGACCUGCCCCGAAGACGGGGAUAACCGUUGGAAACGACGGCUAAUACCCGAUAUACUCGGUGAUUCGGUUCAUCGAGUAAAGGCUCCGGUGCUUCGGGAUGGGCCUGCGGCCUAUCAGCUAGUUGGUGGGGUAAUGGCCCACCAAGGCGAAGACGGGUAGGGGGCGUGAGAGCGCGGUCCCCCACACUGGCACUGAGAUACGGGCCAGACUUCUACGGAAGGCAGCAGUCGGGGAUAUUGCACAAUCGGCGACAGCCGGAUGCAGCGACUCCGCGUGGGCGAUGAAGGCCUUCGGGUUGUAAAGCCCUUUUAUGGGGAAGAGACAUGGACGGUACCCCAAGAAUAAGCGUCGGCUAACUACGUGCCAGCAGCCGUGGUACAACGUAGGACGCAAGCGUUAUCCGGAUUUACUGGGCGUAAAGAGCGUUGAGGCGGUUCCGUAAGUUGGGCGUGAAAGCCCCGGGCUUAACCCGGGGAGGUCGUUCAAUACUGCGGGACUUGAGGGCAGCACAGGGAGGCGGAAUUCCCGGUGUAGCGGUGAAAUGCGUAGAUAUCGGGAGGAACACCAUUGGCGAAGGCGGCCUCCUGGGCAUGUCUCUGACGCUGACGGCGAAAGCUCAUGGGAGCGAACGGGAUUAGAAACCCCGGUAGUCCUAGCAGUAAACGAUGGAUGCUGGAUUUGGCGGGUAUAGAUCCCCUCCGUGCCGAAGCUAACGCGUUAAGCAUCCCGCCUGGGGAUUACGGCCGCAAGGCUUAAACUCAAACGAAUUGACGGGGGCCCAGCACAAGCAGCGGAGCGUUUGGUUUAAUUCGAUGCUACACGAAGAACCUUACCUGGGCUUGACAUGUAGGUAGUAGUGAAGCGAAAGCGGAACGACCGUUCGGGGAGCCUACACAGGUGCUGCAUGGCUGUCGUCAGUUCGUGCCGUGAGGUGUCGGGUUAAGUCCCGUAACGAACGCAACCCAUGCCCUUAGUUACAUGUGUCUAAGGGGACUGCCCGGGACAACUGGGAGGAAGGUGGGGAUGACGUCAAGUCAGCA